AAUCCCCAGGUGCGCUACACCCUGAGCCACGGCGCCAACCAGAGCCAGCAGCUGUUCCAGGUGAUGCCCAACGGGCUCCUGGUGGCCCAGGCGGAUCAGCUGCGGCCCGGGCAGAGCUACCGCCUGCAGGUGCUGGCGCGGGACGAGGAAUCGGGCGAGACCUCGAACACGACGGUGGAGCUGGAGGUGCUGUGGCCGGGGCAGGCGGCCCCGCGGGACCCGUCGGAGCCGGCGGCCGGGCG